UCGCCGUUGUGCAGGAAUACGCCGACGU
rnacentral:sRNA from 1 species